rnacentral:lncRNA from 1 species
UCAGUUGAACCCUCAAACCGAGUUGUUUGCAAAUUUUGUCUUUUGCUAUGUCUAAGUAGGGAGCAUUAUUGAAUAAAUUUGGUUGUGGAAUCUAAAGUUGGGGAGAGUAAAGAAAAAAAGAGUUGAUUAGAAAAUUGGGAAAGUGAGUUUUUAUGAAAGGGAGAAAGUAUGAAAAGAAACAAGAAAAGGAAAUCACCCUUGAAACCAUAGAGCAAAGAAAAUGAAAAGAAAAAAGAAAGCAAAGAAAAUGCUCAUGGUUGUGUGGUUGUGAAAAGAAAAAGAUAGGGAUCAAAGAAAUGGAGAUUGUGUAGAGUUGAAUGUUUGGGAAGGCUCCCUUAAGAUAGGCAUUUUUGUUAAAUUCUCUUAAUCAUAUCCUUUCUUGUAACCUAAGUCACAUUACAACCUUUGAAAGACCUCUUGAUUCUCAUUUUUCACAUUAUGUGGUAUUUGUUGUGAUAACCGCAUGAUUUGAGUUGUUGUUGAUCUAAU